CUUCACCGAGCCGAGCCACAGCGGCUCGUCGCGGCCCUGCCCGUAGGUGGCGAGCAGCGCCGACGCCUC
rnacentral:antisense_RNA from 1 species